rnacentral:rRNA from 1 species
UACGUAGGUGGCAAGCGUUGUCCGGAAUUACUGGGUGUAAAGGGCGUGUAGGCGGGUAUAUAAGUCAGAUGUGAAAUUCCGGGGCUUAACUCUGGAGCUGCAUCUGAAACUAUAUAUCUUGAGUGUUGGAGAGGAAAGCGGAAUUCCUGGUGUAGCGGUGAAAUGCGUAGAUAUUAGGAGGAACACCGGUGGCGAAGGCGGCUUUCUGGACAAUAACUGACGCUGAGGCGCGAAAGCGUGGGGAGCAAACAGG